AAUCACAAGGCAUCGUCUUGUUCAUGCAGGUUUUGGGAAAACUACCACUUGUAUGAAAUAUGUCCAUUAUCAUCAAAAUAUAGGAUUUAAAUCGGCACUGGUUUGUGCUGACACAUUGAGGGCUGGUGCUUUUGAUCAACUAAAACAGAAUGCAACAAAGAUCAUGGUUCCUUUCUAUGGAAGCUGGGGUGGAUCAAGCAGACCUGACUUUGAUUGUAGAAGUACUGAAGAAACCGAGGCUUAGAUUCUUUUGAGGAAUGGCGCAAAGCAAAGAACCUCAGUAAUUUUAUAUUGCUGAGUCAUUCUUUCGGAUGAUAUGUUGCAGCAAAGUAUGCGUUACAGGUAUCUCUACUAUUAAAGGGGGAUCUGCCGUCUGUCGUGAUAGUUCAACCUCGUACUACCCCCCUUCUAUCGCUAAAAGUCCUCCCCCACGUCCUCCCACGAUUUUUUCCAACCCUCCGAAACCAUCAUUGCAUUUUCAGGUUCAGUGGUAAAUGCUUCCAUACGUCCUUGAUCCCCGGAUAUGACUUCUUAUAUAUGUACUUUUUUGCUGGUGGAACAUAUCUCCAGCUAAUAUUUUGUCUGCUUUUAACAUGUUCUGGUUGUUGAAAAAACAAAAAAAAAUGUUACCCCUCUUUUCUUUUACAUGAUGCUCAUGUUGCAUGGUGCAGCGACUGCUUCAGGGUUACAUGAGAAAGUUGGAGUAAAUUCUUGUGGUGUAGAAUUCGAGGCUUUAGUGAAAACAGUAAGAAGGCAACAAAAACUGAGAGAAAAUUUUGAUUUUUGCUCACUAUGAUCUUUAAAUUUUGUAAGGGCAUGUGAUGUCCUCACAACAUGAGGUGGGUCGUGUCGUGUCCCGUCAAUCAACACCCACUAGAUAGGGUCAAGACUCCACUGCUGCGGCACUUCACCGGCCACCCUGUCAGGUCUAGCAAGCGAGGGAGGGGAGCAUGGCAAGCAGUGCAAGGAGCACAAGCGCGCCGAUGGCCACCCCCAUGGGAUGUGGUUGCAGAGGCUGAUGAAGAGCCUCUGCGCUAUGAGGAUGAUGUCGCAUGGCAGGGUUGAAGCGGUAGCACAGAGAGGGUUCCGAAGAGUUGGUGGCCAGGAGUAGUCAUCGAUGGGGAGGGUUUUGAUGAGCAGGGAUGAAUCAGAAGUUAUUUUUCCUUAUUGUGGAUUUGCUCCAAUGAUUCUGGAACCCUCGAGGAGGUGAGGUUUCCAUCAAAUGAUUUUACAAUUUGUUUGGUCUCAACAAUGGGUGGUAGUAAUCUGCACUCCUACUGCCAAGUGUAGAGCUAUGCUGGUAGAUUGUAGAGAGAAAUUUAUCUUCGAACAAGGCUACCAAGGAAGCAUCAGGGCAAAUAUAUCUAUUGCAGUUGAGAUAGUUUGUUUUAAUUCUAAUAUGUCAAGCUUCUGAUAGUUCACUGUGUACAUUGGUUUGGUGACUUGAUAUUUGUUGAAUGUAGUAAUAAGCACCAUAUACGACACAUAAGUUCUUGUUUUUUC